AUUGAACGCUGGCGGCAGGCCUAACACAUGCAAGUCGAACGGUAACAGGAAGAAGCUUGCUUCUUUGCUGACGAGUGGCGGACGGGUGAGUAAUGUCUGGGAAACUGCCUGAUGGAGGGGGGUAACUACUGGAAACGGUAGCUAAUACCGCAUAACGUCGCAAGACCAAAAAGGGGGACCUUCGGGCCUCUUGCCAUCGGAUGUGCCCAGAUGGGAUUAGCUAGUAGGUGGGGUAACGGCUCACCUAGGCGACGAUCCCUAGCUGGUCUGAGAGGAUGACCAGCCACACUGGAACUGAGACACGGUCCAGACUCCUACGGGAGGCAGCAGUGGGGAAUAUUGCACAAUGGGCGCAAGCCUGAUGCAGCCAUGCCGCGUGUAUGAAGAAGGCCUUCGGGUUGUAAAGUACUUUCAGCGGGGAGGAAGGGAGUAAAGUUAAUACCUUUGCUCAUUGACGUUACCCGCAGAAGAAGCACCGGCUAACUCCGUG
rnacentral:rRNA from 1 species